rnacentral:rRNA from 1 species
GAUGAACGCUGGCGGCGUGCUUAACACAUGCAAGUCGAACGAAGCAUUUAAGACCGAUUACUUCGGUUUGAAGUCUUUUAUGACUGAGUGGCGGACGGGUGAGUAACGCGUGGGUAACCUGCCUCAUCCAGGGGGAUAGCAGCUGGAAACGGCUGGUAAUAACCCAUAAGCGCCCAGUACCACAUGGUACAGUGUGAAAAACUCUGGUUGUAUGCGAUGGACACGCGUCUGAUUAGCAUGUUGGCGUGGUAACGGCCCACCAAGGCGACGAUCAGUAGCCGACCUGUGAGAGUGACUGGACACAUUGAGACUGAGCCACAGCCGAGACUCCUACGGGAGGCAGGAGUGCGGAAUAGAGCACAGUGGAGGAAGCGCUGAUGCAGCUACGCCGCGAGAGUGAAGAAGUAGGGCGCGAAGUAAAGCGCAAGCAGCAGGGAAGAUAGUGACGGUACCUGACCAGGAAGCCCCGGCUAACUACGUG